rnacentral:tRNA from 1 species
AAGAGUGUAGCUCAAGUGGUAGAGCGCAUGCUUAGCAUGCGUGAGGUCCUGGGUUCAUUCCCCAGUACUUUAA